rnacentral:rRNA from 1 species
GUAGCAUACCGCUGACGACCGGCGCACGGGUGAGUAACACGUAUCCAACCUACCAUCGUUUAAGGGAUAGCCUUUCGAAAGAAAGAUUAAUACCCGACCUUAUAGCGAUAAGGCAUCUUAUUGCUAUUAAAGAAUUUCGGUGUUUGAUGGGGAUGCGUUCCAUUAGAUUGUUGGUGAGGUAACGGCUCACCAAGUCUUCGAUGGAUAGGGGUUCUGAGAGGAAGGUCCCCCACAUUGGAACUGAGACACGGUCCAAACUCCUACGGGAGGCAGCAGUGAGGAAUAUUGGUCAAUGGACGAGAGUCUGAACCAGCCAAGUAGCGUGAAGGAUGAAGGCCCUAUGGGUCGUAAACUUCUUUUAUAGGGGAAUAAAGUGCGGAACGUGUUCCGUUUUGUAUGUACCCUACGAAUAAGGAUCGGCUAACUCCGUGCCAGCAGCCGCGGUAAUACGGAGGAUCCGAGCGUUAUCCGGAUUUAUUGGGUUUAAAGGGAGCGUAGGUGGACGUAUAAGUCAGUUGUGAAAGUUUGCGGCUCAACCGUAAAAUUGCAGUUGAUACUGUAUGUCUUGAGUGUACAAGAGGUGGGCGGAAUUCGUGGUGUAGCGGUGAAAUGCUUAGAUAUCACGAAGAACUCCGAUUG